GACGAGCGCUGGCGGCGUGCUUAACACAUGCAAGUCGAACGGAAAGGCCCUGCUUUUGUGGGGUGCUCGAGUGGCGAACGGGUGAGUAACACGUGAGUAACCUGCCCUUGACUUUGGGAUAACUUCAGGAAACUGGGGCUAAUACCGGAUAGGAGCUCCUGCUGCAUGGUGGGGGUUGGAAAGUUUCGGCGGUUGGGGAUGGACUCGCGGCUUAUCAGCUUGUUGGUGGGGUAGUGGCUUACCAAGGCUUUGACGGGUAGCCGGCCUGAGAGGGUGACCGGCCACAUUGGGACUGAGAUACGGCCCAGACUCCUACGGGAGGCAGCAGUGGGGAAUAUUGCACAAUGGGCGGAAGCCUGAUGCAGCAACGCCGCGUGCGGGAUGACGGCCUUCGGGUUGCAAACCGCUUUCGCCUGUGACGAAGCGUGAGUGGCGGUAAUGGGUAAAGAAGCACCGGCUAACUACGUG
rnacentral:rRNA from 1 species